GUGAUAUUAUGGCCAAUGGAGUUGGGGCAUUGGUUGCAACAGAAGAGGAUCAGACAACAACCUAUCAAUCGGUGGAACAAAAGGAGAAGAAAAUCCGUGAGCUUUCUGCAGAGUUGGAAAAAACAAAUCAACGCUGUGAAGUGUAUAGAGCGAAUCUCCUAGCUGUUUUAAGGGACAUGGAAGAGCAGAAGUUGAAGUUAUCUGUGAAGGUCCAAAAUG
rnacentral:misc_RNA from 1 species